UACAGGGGGUGCAAACGUUACUCGGAAUCAUUGGGCGUAAAGCGCACGUAGGCGGUUCGUUAUGUCGGAUGUGAAAGCCCUUGGCUUAACCGAGGAAGUGCAUCCGAAACUGGCGAGCUAGAGUACUAAAGAGGAUCGCGGAAUUCCCGGUGUAGAGGUGAAAUUCGUAGAUAUCGGGAGGAACACCGGUGGCGAAGGCGGCGAUCUGGGUAGAUACUGACGCUGAGGUGCGAAAGCGUGGGGAGCAAACAGG
rnacentral:rRNA from 1 species